AUGGCGUAUUAUUCAUUCAUGGCUGGUAAAUUUGCAAGCUUUUCAUAUGGGCAGUGGUACCAUAUAAUGCUUCCCUCCCUGGCUUUGUAUGCACACCCUACUCCAGGAUCUACAUCUUCUUCAGCGAUAUGCUCAGGUGAUGUUCAUGCUACGUGUGCACAAUUGAUUUGGGCAGAUUCUGCAGCUUCCAACUGUCCAUUCUUGUGCUCAGCCGUUGAUCAUCCCUCAAAUGGCUUUUGGACAGGUAAUUACUCUGUACAUUAUCCUUUCAUCUUUUGUUGUCAAUUUUACUACUACGCCGCAAAUCGCUUAAAUAAUAUGUUCCUCUGGUAUUCAUAUCAUGCUCCUGUAUGGAACAGGUGA
rnacentral:rRNA from 1 species